rnacentral:rRNA from 1 species
CUGCUCAGAUUGAACGCUGGCGGCAGGCCUAACACAUGCAAGUCGAGCGGUAGCACAGAGAGCUUGCUCUCGGGUGACGAGCGGCGGACGGGUGAGUAAUGUCUGGGAAACUGCCUGAUGGAGGGGGAUAACUACUGGAAACGGUAGCUAAUACCGCAUAAUGUCGCAAGACCAAAGUGGGGGACCUUCGGGCCUCAUGCCAUCAGAUGUGCCCAGAUGGGAUUAGCUAGUAGGUGGGGUAACGGCUCACCUAGGCGACGAUCCCUAGCUGGUCUGAGAGGAUGACCAGCCACACUGGAACUGAGACACGGUCCAGACUCCUACGGGAGGCAGCAGUGGGGAAUAUUGCACAAUGGGCGCAAGCCUGAUGCAGCCAUGCCGCGUGUGUGAAGAAGGCCUUCGGGUUGUAAAGCACUUUCAGCGGGGAGGAAGGCGGUGAGGUUAAUAACCUCAUCGAUUGACGUUACCCGCAGAAGAAGCACCGGCUAACUCCGUGCCAGCAGCCGCGGUAAUACGGAGGGUGCAAGCGUUAAUCGGAAUUACUGGGCGUAAAGCGCACGCAGGCGGUCUGUCAAGUCGGAUGUGAAAUCCCCGGGCUCAACCUGGGAACUGCAUUCGAAACUGGCAGGCUAGAGUCUUGUAGAGGGGGGUAGAAUUCCAGGUGUAGCGGUGAAAUGCGUAGAGAUCUGGAGGAAUACCGGUGGCGAAGGCGGCCCCCUGGACAAAGACUGACGCUCAGGUGCGAAAGCGUGGGGAGCAAACAGGAUUAGAUACCCUGGUAGUCCACGCCGUAAACGAUGUCGAUUUGGAGGUUGUGCCCUUGAGGCGUGGCUUCCGGAGCUAACGCGUUAAAUCGACCGCCUGGGGAGUACGGCCGCAAGGUUAAAACUCAAAUGAAUUGACGGGGGCCCGCACAAGCGGUGGAGCAUGUGGUUUAAUUCGAUGCAACGCGAAGAACCUUACCUGGUCUUGACAUCCACAGAACUUUCCAGAGAUGGAUUGGUGCCUUCGGGAACUGUGAGACAGGUGCUGCAUGGCUGUCGUCAGCUCGUGUUGUGAAAUGUUGGGUUAAGUCCCGCAACGAGCGCAACCCUUAUCCUUUGUUGCCAGCGGUUAGGCCGGGAACUCAAAGGAGACUGCCAGUGAUAAACUGGAGGAAGGUGGGGAUGACGUCAAGUCAUCAUGGCCCUUACGACCAGGGCUACACACGUGCUACAAUGGCAUAUACAAAGAGAAGCGACCUCGCGAGAGCAAGCGGACCUCAUAAAGUAUGUCGUAGUCCGGAUUGGAGUCUGCAACUCGACUCCAUGAAGUCGGAAUCGCUAGUAAUCGUAGAUCAGAAUGCUACGGUGAAUACGUUCCCGGGCCUUGUACACACCGCCCGUCACACCAUGGGAGUGGGUUGCAAAAGAAGUAGGUAGCUUAACCUUCGGGAGGGCGCUUACCACUUUGUGAUUCAUGACUGGGGUGAAGUC